UAUGACUGCCUUGACUAUAAGCCCUAGAAGUAAAAACCUAUGAAAGCUACACCACUACACCGAGCGGCAACAAGAGCAAGCAAAAUCCACUUAAGGUUUUAGUAUCUGUGAUCACUUUGUGUGUUCUUUACCUCCAGCGGUAAGAAACGAUUUCUCCUUCCACUCCAUGUGCGGGUUGCAUUUGGAUUGCUUUUCUAAAGUGUGCCUCUCUUUGUAAGAUUUUAAGUUGGGGGCAUCUGGGUGCCUUUAUUCCAGUACAUCUUGUUUAUCUUCUAUUCUCAGCUCUGCAGCCUCGUUCUCUCCCGGCCAAGCUUUUAGGAAGGGAAGGAUCCAGGAGGGCCAUCUAGUGAGAAGAGCGUUACCACUAAAACUGUAGUGCGUUGGAGCAUCAGAGAAAUAUCUUAAGGACUGUGUCCAGGCCGGUUUACUCUCUUUGUCCUCUGGGAAAAUUGCUCCAGCAGAGGCCUGACAGGAGAAUGCGGAGACCGUUGUUUGUACCACUUUACAGAUUUGUAUUUGUGUGACCAAAGGGGCAUCACCGGCCUCCUGGUUUCUGCACAGAUAAAAAGUGGAAAACCCGGAAGGUUCUCACACUUCUGGCUUCCUGGAAACACGGGAGGAAAUCAAGGGCAGCACCCGCCUGAGCGUG
rnacentral:lncRNA from 1 species